rnacentral:rRNA from 1 species
UACGAAGGGGGCUAGCGUUGUUCGGAAUCACUGGGCGUAAAGGGCGCGUAGGCGGCUUUGUAAGUCGGGGGUGAAAGCCUGUGGCUCAACCACAGAAUUGCCUUCGAUACUGCAUGGCUUGAGACCGGAAGAGGUAAGUGGAACUGCGAGUGUAGAGGUGAAAUUCGUAGAUAUUCGCAAGAACACCAGUGGCGAAGGCGACACGCUGGGCCGUACCUGACACUGAUACGCGACAGCAUGGGGAGCGAACGGG